CCAACGGCCCUCUUUAGGGCCACCAUUUUAUGACUUCUCUCUCUA
rfam:Strongyloides ratti strain ED321 Heterogonic genome assembly, chromosome: 1